rnacentral:piRNA from 1 species
UGAGGUAGUAGUUUGUACAGUA